rnacentral:rRNA from 1 species
UACGUAGGGUCCAAGCGUUAUCCGGAAUUACUGGGCGUAAAGAGUUGCGUAGGUGGCAGAGUAAGUAGAUAGUGAAAGCGUGUGGCUCAACCAUACAUCCAUUAUCUAAACUGCUCAGCUAGAGGAUGAGAGAGGUAGAUGGAAUUCCUGAUGUAGGGGUAAUAUCCGUAGAUAUCAGGAGGAACACCGAUGGCGUAAGCAGUCUACUGGCUCAUUCCUGACACUAAGGCACGAAAGCGUGGGGAGCGAACGGG